AACCAUAGAAACCUGCGGAGUACCUGCGGAAGGAUCAUUACCGAGUUAUACAACUCAUCAACCCCUGUGAACUUACCUACAACGUUGCUUCGGCGGGAACAGACGGCCCCGUAAAACGGGCCGCCCCCGCCAGAGGACCCCUAACUCUGUUUUUAUAAUGUUUUUCUGAGUAAACAAGCAAAUAAAUUAAAACUUUUAACAACGGAUCU
rnacentral:misc_RNA from 1 species